rnacentral:lncRNA from 1 species
UUGUCACGAGCUCGAGGGGAGUACCGCGUCGUGACAUUUUUUCUUAUCAAUUUUGAGAUGGUAUGCAUGCUCACAUGUCCAAGUCUCCUAUGCCAUAACCGGCCAUCAUUUUCAACAUUUGCCAUAAGACAUGUUUCACAAUUCACCUCAAGAUCUUCAAGAAAUAUAAUAAACAUAUUCUUAAUUUUUUUUCCUACAAAUGAAACUUUGUUAGUACUUAUGUCUAUCACUUC